rnacentral:tRNA from 1 species
GCCUGGGUGGCUCAGUUGGUUGAGCGUCCGACUUCGGCUCGGGUCAUGAUCUCACAGCUCAUGAGUUCAAGCCCCGUGUCAGGCU